CCUACGGGCGGCAGCAGUGGGGAAUAUUGGACAAUGGGGGCAACCCUGAUCCAGCCAUGUCGCGUGUGUGAAGAAGGCCCUCGGGUUGUAAAGCACUUUCAGUGAGGAAGAACGCCUGGUGGUUAAUACCCAUCAGGAAAGACAUCACUCACAGAAGAAGCACCGGCUAACUCCGUGCCAGCAGCCGCGGUAAUACGGAGGGUGCGAGCGUUAAUCGGAAUUACUGGGCGUAAAGCGCGCGUAGGUGGCUUGAUAAGCCGGUUGUGAAAGCCCCGGGCUCAACCUGGGAACGGCAUCCGGAACUGUCAAGCUAGAGUGCAGGAGAGGAAGGUAGAAUUCCCGGUGUAGCGGUGAAAUGCGUAGAGAUCGGGAGGAAUACCAGUGGCGAAGGCGGCCUUCUGGACUGACACUGACACUGAGGUGCGAAAGCGUGGGUAGCAAACAGGAUUAGAUACCCCAGUAGUC
rnacentral:rRNA from 1 species